GCUACAUCCAACUGCAUGUGAUUUGGCAGAGUAUUAUAGUUAUUAUUUUUUUAAAAAGCAUAUAUUUGCGCUCGUUAGUUUGUGAUCUAAAACACAGUAUAAGAGAGCUUACCAGAUAUAUAUACCGCAGAACAUCAUCGUAUCUUAACCUAAAUUGUUAGUGAAAUCCUAUCAACUAAACGUACGGGUUGAAAGUACGAUUCGAUGGGUAUGGAUUAUCAAGCACAUAAGUAAUUAGCAAAUCCUAUAACUGAAUUCAACCAAUAUUAGACUGGUUCAGACAGACUGAUAGACUGGACUCGAUACAAUAAAGGGACUAAACGUAAGUCAGACACAUA